CAGUCGCCGCGGUAAUACGUAGGGCGCAAGCGUUAUCCGGAAUUAUUGGGCGUAAAGAGCUCGUAGGCGGUUUGUCGCGUCUGCCGUGAAGGUCCGGGGCUCAACCCCGGAUCUGCGGUGGGUACGGGCAGACUAGAGUGAUGUAGGGGAGACUGGAAUUCCUGGUGUAGCGGUGAAAUGCGCAGAUAUCAGGAGGAACACCGAUGGCGAAGGCAGGUCUCUGGGCAUUAACUGACGCUGAGGAGCGAAAGCAUGGGGAGCGAACAGGAUUAGAUACCCGGGUAGUCCCUGUCUCUUAUAC
rnacentral:rRNA from 1 species